CCUGUACAUUCAAGGCGUCACAAUCAAUACAAUGUACGAAGUUCCAACCAGGAACACAUUUCAAUCAAAGAUUGCAUAAGGAAGUAUAAAAAACAUAAUCUACUUGUUAUUAUAAGCAUUCACAUUCACUAUAUACAUUUUACAUCACAAUUACAUAUUACAUUUAACUUCCAAAUACAAUCAUGCUUCCAUUACAAAUUAUUGCAAUCUUAUUCCUUUCAUU
rnacentral:lncRNA from 1 species